GUUUCAAUAAACAUUUCAUACUUUGGUGGUUCCUCAUUGUUUUCUUUGAUUGCACGCAAUGUCACACGUACUCUUGCAAAACUAAUAGGUCCCAUUCGAUGUCUCCAUUUUGCUUUUUCCUUCACAAAUUGGUUGUACAGAUUACUAGAGAAUGAAAAGGAAUCUCAGCACUUGAGUUCUUCAGCUUCCACUCUUGAUUUCUUCCAUCCCUACCUCUGUAUCUUCAGCUUUUCAUCUCUUUAAGUAAAAUAUACAAUCCCUUUAAAGUUCACAGUUGGAGCUUCUUUGUUGCCUUUUUUGAAAAGUUCAUAGACACAUUGCUCUAAAAAAU
rnacentral:misc_RNA from 1 species